CAUUUGAAUCGAAUUAUAAACGAAGUCAAACGUACUUUGAUUGAAGGGAAAUCAUCGAAGAUAAACAGUUCAAUUGGUAGGAUAUAUAUUCUUUACUUAGUUUGCUCGAAUACAAUAGCCAUUUAUUUUGGGCGAUAUACGUAAUUUAAUUAAUAAAAGAAAGUCAUUAUUGAUUAUUAUUUUAAUCAAUAUAUUUUAUCAAUUCAAUUUGAAUUCAACGGUCGUUGCUAUUAUAAUAUCCAUAUAUAAUCACAUAGCAGUAUUUAUAUGUAUGUGUAAACAUGGCGGCAUUACGAGGAAGAUUCUUUACUGUUGUGAAUACAUUUUCAUUUUUCACCGAGAAAAAGUCAUUAAAUUUUAAGAAAUAUGUGUUAAUAGUGCGCACAACGAUAGGAAGAACUUUUUCAGUAAAAACAAUUAAAGAUAUCGAGGAAAGGAAGGUCAAUGUCAAUGGGUUUGAUAUUAAUUAUGUUAGAGUCGGGAUUGGUAAUCAUCCUGUUCUCCUAUUACCUGGUGCCCUAGGAACUGCUUGGACUGACUUCAAACCUCAACUAGAAAAUCUUGAUAAAAACAAGUUGACUGUAGUAGCAUGGGAUCCACCUGGAUAUGGAAAAUCGAGACCACCGAACAAAACAUAUUCAGAUGAUUUUUUGCAACGUGAUGCCGAUUAUGCUUUUGAUUUAAUGAAAGUUCUAGGAUAUAAGAAAUUCUCUUUGAUUGGAUGGAGCGAUGGUGGUAUCACGUCUCUUAUACUUGCUGCCAAAAAUCCUGAUAGCAUUCGUAAAAUGAUCGUAUUUGGUGCGAAUGCUUACAUUCUUCCCGAAGAACUCCAAAUUUAUAAAAGCAUUAAAAACAUCGACACUUGGUCGGAUAAAAUGAAACAACCAUUGAUUGAAGUUUAUGGUGAAGAGUAUUUUAGAAAUACUUGGUCCGAUUGGGUAGAUGGUAUGGAAAGAAUAUAUGAAAAAAACAAGGGUGAUUUAUGUAAAAAUGUGUUGGCUAAAAUAAAGUGUCCUACUUUAAUCAUACAUGGAGCAAAAGAUGUAAUAGUAAAGCCAGAACAUCCAGUUUAUUUAAAAGAUCAUAUAAAAAAUUCUGAGGUAAUAAUACUUGAAAAAGGAGCUCAUAAUUUACACUUAAGAUAUCACGAGGAAUUUAAUACAUUGGCCAUGAAGUUCUUAACAGAAGAUUGAAACAUUUUUUAAGUUUCUUAUUUUCUUAAUAAGAGUAAAUUAAGUUGGUAGAAAAAUAUCGGACGAUGUCACUUGCGAGUUUGCAGUUGAUGAGAGAGAGAGAGAGAAAGAGUCCAACGAAUUCAACGAGCUAAUAACGAAGUUCCUCUCGGGGCCAGUCAUAGAUCGACUAGUAGCUAUUUUUGUCGUAUGAAUAACACUUAAGAAUUCUCUCCAUCUUUGUGUUCUCAAAUUAUCGUUCGUACUUGUAAAAAUAUAAAGGGAGGGAAGUUACGAGCUUUCAAAGAUGACGAAGAAACGUCUUCAGAGUUUUUACCACUUUCUUUUUAUAUUGCUUUUUUACAUACGAUCUGUCCUAUAAAGUUCCUAAUGAAGUUUAACUAGUAUAACGCGCAUAGCUUAAUGAAUUCCGUCUACAGAUUGAAUAAUUAAUCUCUCCCUUCUUUGUUGUACCAGUUAUGCUCGGCUCUCUCAUUAGUUUCGCUUUAAGCUUAUAAUAUGUUUGACGUGAAUUCUCGUUAAAUAAUAUUUAGUAUGCACCGUAUAUUUAGUCCCUCGUUAAUAAUAUUUACUAUGACGUUAGGUAAA